rnacentral:rRNA from 1 species
AACGAACGCUGGCGGCAGGCCUAACACAUGCAAGUCGAGCGAGGACUUCGGUUCUAGCGGCGGACGGGUGAGUAACGCGUGGGAAUGUGCCCUUCUCUACGGAAUAGCCCUGGGAAACUGGGAGUAAUACCGUAUACGCCCUAUUGGGGAAAGAUUUAUCGGAGAAGGAUCAGCCCGCGUUGGAUUAGGUAGUUGGUGGGGUAAUGGCCUACCAAGCCGACGAUCCAUAGCUGGUUUGAGAGGAUGAUCAGCCACACUGGGACUGAGACACGGCCCAGACUCCUACGGGAGGCAGCAGUGGGGAAUCUUAGACAAUGGGGGAAACCCUGAUCGAGCCAUGCCGCGUGAGCGAUGAAGGCCUUAGGGUUGUAAAGCUCUUUCAGCUGGGAAGAUAAUGACGGUACCAGCAGAAGAAGCCCCGGCUAACUCCGUG